GUGAACGCUGGCGGUAGGCCUCACACCUGCAAGUCGCACGGCAGCACAGUAAGAGCUUGCUCUUACGGGUGGCGAGUGGCGGACGGGUGAGGAAUACAUCGGAAUCUACUUUUUCGUGGGGGAUAACGUAGGGAGACUUACGCUAAUACCGCAUACGACCUACGGGUGAAAGCAGGGGAUCUUCGGACCUUGCGCGAUUGAAUGAGCCGAUGUCGGAUUAGCUAGUUGGCGGGGUAAAGGCCCACCAAGGCGACGAUCCGUAGCUGGUCUGAGAGGAUGAUCAGCCACACUGGAACUGAGACACGGUCCAGACUCCUACGGGAGGCAGCAGUGGGGAAUAUUGGACAAUGGGCGCAAGCCUGAUCCAGCCAUACCGCGUGGGUGAAGAAGGCCUUCGGGUUGUAAAGCCCUUUUGUUGGGAAAGAAAAGCAGCAGGUUAAUACCCCGCUGUUCUGACGGUACCCAAAGAAUAAGCACCGGCUAACUUCGUG
rnacentral:rRNA from 1 species